rnacentral:lncRNA from 1 species
GCGUCAGCGGUUUUAACCAGUAUCGAGUAAAGACAGAUUGGGUAAGAAAAGGACUAGCAAGGCGUACCAGUUGUGAAUGAGUUGUGCAAGAGCUGCGGAGAUGGCGUCAGCGGUUUUAACCAGUAUCGAGUAAAGACAGAUUGGGUAAGGAAAGGACUAGCAAGGCGUACCAGUUGUGACUGAGUUGUGCAAGAGCUGCGGAGCGUAGUCGGACCUAAGACAGUACCAGUCUACGUCUUCAAACAUUGAUUGAUAGAUAAAGGUCUUGUGAAGAAAUGCCCAUACGUGUCGAUCAGAGCAUGU